rnacentral:lncRNA from 1 species
CUGGCUAGAUUUGGAAUCCAAUAGGUUACACACUUUAAAAUUUGAUAUUGAUUUGAUUUAAUUAGAGUUUAAUAUAAAUUUUAUGGGUUAAUUUGAUAUGCUAGCAUAUUGUAUUAACCCAAGUUUCUAAAUUGGUUUAGAUCAAAUUGUUUGAGCUAACCUACACUAAUUGCCUUUGAUCUAAUGGGAUUGGGUCAAUUUAGAUUGGAUCCUUAUCCAACU